rnacentral:snRNA from 1 species
UACGUUUCUUGGCCUUUUGGCUAAGAUCAAAUGCAAUAUCUGUUCUUAUCAGUUUAAUAUCUGAUACGUGAGUCCUAGGUCGACACAACGAUAUUAAAUUUAUUUUUUGUGGGAGAGAGCCCGCUUUAGUAGCUUGCUGCCUGGGCUCUCUGGUGUUGCCCUAGCGUUGCACUACUGCUUGAACUGGCGCACCCCAA